rnacentral:rRNA from 1 species
UACGUAGGGCGCAAGCGUUGUCCGGAACUAUUGGGCGUAAAGAGCUCGUAGGCGGCUUGUCACGUCGGGUGUGAAAGCCCGGGGCUUAACCCCGGGUCUGCAUUCGAUACGGGCUAGCUAGAGUGUGGUAGGGGAGAUCGGAAUUCCUGGUGUAGCGGUGAAAUGCGCAGAUAUCAGGAGGAACACCGGUGGCGAAGGCGGAUCUCUGGGCCAUUACUGACGCUGAGGAGCGAAAGCGUGGGGAGCGAACAGG